AUGUGCCACUCGUAGACUCCGGUUCUGAGCGCGCCGUCCGCACCCACCUGACGACUGCUCGCUACGUUUUGUUAGCC
rnacentral:sRNA from 1 species